UACGUAGGGUGCGAGCGUUGUCCGGAAUUAUUGGGCGUAAAGAGCUCGUAGGCGGUCUGUCGCGUCGGAUGUGAAAACUCGGGGCUCAACCCCGAGCCUGCAUUCGAAACGGGCAGACUAGAGUUCGGUAGGGGAGACUGGAAUUCCUGGUGUAGCGGUGAAAUGCGCAGAUAUCAGGAGGAACACCGGUGGCGAAGGCGGGUCUCUGGGCCGAUACUGACGCUGAGGAGCGAAAGCGUGGGGAGCGAACAGG
rnacentral:rRNA from 1 species